rnacentral:rRNA from 1 species
UACGGAGGGGGCUAGCGUUGUUCGGAAUUACUGGGCGUAAAGCGCACGUAGGCGGCUUCGCAAGUCAGAGGUGAAAGCCUGGGGCUCAACCCCGGAACUGCCUUUGAGACUGCGUCGCUCGAAUCCGGGAGAGGCGGGUGGAAUUCUGGGUGUAGAGGUGAAAUUCGUAGAUAUUCGGAAGAACACCAGUGGCGAAGGCGGCCCGCUGGACAGGCACUGACGCUGAGGUGCGAAAGCGUGGGGAGCAAACAGG